CCCUUAGAUGUUCUGGGCUGAACGCGUGCUACACUGAUAUUGCCAAUAUGUCAUUCUUAUCCGAAAUGGAUUGGGUAAUCAAGUAAUGAAAUUUCAUGCUUGGAAUCGGUAAUUGCAAUUUUAUCGUGAACGAGGAAUUCCUAGUAAGCACUAGUCAUCAGCUAAUGUUGAUUAUGUCCCUGCCCUUUGUACACACCGCCCGUCGCUACUACUGAUUGGGUGUUCAAGUGAGAUGCUUAGACCCUUGUUGCAUGGUUCAUUAUUGUGCUCCGAAAGGAAAAAGUUUCAAGCUUGAGUGUCUAGAGGAAGUAAAAGUCGUAACA
rnacentral:rRNA from 1 species